rnacentral:rRNA from 1 species
UACGUAGGGACCGAGCGUUGUCCGGAAUCAUUGGGCGUAAAGAGCGUGUAGGCGGCUAUUUAAGUCCUGCGUGAAGUCCUGCGGCUCAACCGCAGACGGUCGUUGGAAACUGGAUGGCUAGAGUGCGGGAGAGGAGAGUGGAAUUCCCGGUGUAGCGGUGAAAUGCGCAGAUAUCGGGAAGAACACCAGUGGCGAAGGCGGCUCUCUGGAACGCAACUGACGCUGAGACGCGAAAGCGUGGGGAGCAAACAGG